rnacentral:rRNA from 1 species
GAUGAACGCUGGCGGCGUGCCUAAUACAUGCAAGUCGAGCGAACAGACGAGGAGCUUGCUCCUCUGACGUUAGCGGCGGACGGGUGAGUAACACGUGGAUAACCUACCUAUAAGACUGGGAUAACUUCGGGAAACCGGAGCUAAUACCGGAUAAUAUAUUGAACCGCAUGGUUCAAUAGUGAAAGACGGUUUUGCUGUCACUUAUAGAUGGAUCCGCGCCGCAUUAGCUAGUUGGUAAGGUAACGGCUUACCAAGGCGACGAUGCGUAGCCGACCUGAGAGGGGGAUCGGCCACACUGGAACUGAGACACGGUCCAGACUCCUACGGGAGGCAGCAGUAGGGAAUCUUCCGCAAUGGGCGAAAGCCUGACGGAGCAACGCCGCGUAAGUGAUGAAGGUCUUCGGAUCGUAAAACUCUGUUAUUAGGGAAGAACAAAUGUGUAAGUAACUAUGCACGUCUUGACGGUACCUAAUCAGAAAGCCACGGCUAACUACGUG